rnacentral:rRNA from 1 species
UACGUAGGGUGCAAGCGUUGUCCGGAAUUAUUGGGCGUAAAGAGCUCGUAGGCGGCUUGUUGCGUCGGCUGUGAAAACCCAUGGCUUAACUGUGGGCUUGCAGCCGAUACGGGCAGGCUAGAGUUCGGUAGGGGAGACCGGAAUUCCUGGUGUAGCGGUGGAAUGCGCAGAUAUCAGGAGGAACACCGGUGGCGAAGGCGGGUCUCUGGGCCGAUACUGACGCUGAGGAGCGAAAGCGUGGGGAGCGAACAGG